rnacentral:rRNA from 1 species
CCUACGGGAGGCAGCAGUGGGGAAUUGUUCGCAAUGGGCGCAAGCCUGACGACGCAACGCCGCGUGGAGGAUGAAGGUCUUCGGAUUGUAAACUCCUGUUGAUCGGGACGAACAUCCAUCGGGAUAACACCCCGGAGGACUGACGGUACCGGUUGAGGAAGCCCCGGCUAACUCUGUGCCAGCAGCCGCGGUAAU